rnacentral:lncRNA from 1 species
GCCAGUUUAUGCCCUCUCAACCGUACACAAAAACACGGCUGUUUCCCCUCAUGGUUUUCACUGACAUGCUAAGUGAAAUCCAGCCUCAGAUUAGAGAUGGCUCAUGGGCCAUUGCUGGCCCACUGAAGUUGCAGCCACCGUCCUGGUUAUCAGUGGUCAGUGAACUCAGGACAACAGGAGCUGAAACCGAGGCUGAGCCCACUUCCCGGGGGCCAGCCUGUUCCUGGCUGAGAUGACACCUGUCAGAACAUCCUGUGCUUCCCAUUCAACAGUGCACUGGGCUCUGUGCAGAACAGAAAAGAGAAAGAGAGUUCUGCGAGUGCCUCUUGCUGUAAUUACCAGCUCUGGAUGCCUCUGCCUCACUCUGGGAUGCAGGCUACAUCCAGCUUCAUGAGGGAUGGACCUCAAAACUAAAGUGGCGUGGAUUCCACUGUCUGCUACUGCUGCCUGGACCCACGCAGCCGCCCACAUGCGGCAGCAUCCUUGUCAUGCUCCUUUGGACAUCAUCAUCCUCUGUCUCUUCCUUCAUAGAACCAACCCACUCCUCCUGCCUGAGCCCUGAGCCUGGCCCAGGCUCUUUGGUCUAGCCUAACGCUCUGGAAUCCACAUGUGGCAUAUACCCACAUUCCAGCUGUUACAACUGUAAUUCAGUCCUACGACACUCCUGAGGGAUAAGACUGGACAUUCAGAACUUGCACAACCGGCUGGGGUCCUGUUGUUCCUGAGCAGAGCACAAUGCCAAGGCUGGAAGGUAGACCUGAAGCUCAAAGUCAUGACCCCAGUGCUGAAUGCCCCUCCACACCUGUCACUCACAUGGAUGUUUCUGGAAAACUGCUCAACUCUAUUGUUUUGUUAUUCUAGAGCGGUCAUUCAUAAAACACAUAGCAGUGGAGCAUCUACUAUGUGCAGGUCAUGGUGCUGAGCACUAUGUGGGAGACAAAAUUAAAUCCCAAACAGAACCUGCUCCAGUGAGCUUAGAACUGGGCAGCAGCCUUUACAGCUGAGGAGAGCUACUUCAGAGAUGAUGCACUUGUGCUUUGGGGACAACUGUGCUUUUAUUUGAUUCAUUUUCUGUAGAAAUGUAGACAAGCACUUCAAAAAUUCUCAAAAGAGGAAAUGGAUCAAGACAUUUUGAUAAAUGUUUUCUAAAAAGCAGUUCUUAGCUACCAUCAAAUAUGAUAUGCUAUCAAAUAAUAAGGAUCAGGAAAUAGCCCACUAUAUAUAUAUAUAUAAAAUAUAUAUAUAAAAUACAUAUAUUUGUGUGUAUAUAUAUUUGUUUUAUAUAUAUAUAUAAAACAAAAGAAUGCCCCCCAAAUUGUGAACCAUAAUAUAAUCAUCAUAGAAUUUUAAAUGUUUACACAUACAGAAACUCUUUUUUUUUUUUUUUUUUUUGAGAUGGAGUCUCACUCUGUUGCCCAGGCUGGCGUGUAGUGGAACGAUGUCGACUCACUGCAACCUCCAACUCUCAGGUUCAAGCGUUUCUCUUGCCUCGGCUUCCCAAGUAGGUGGGAUUACAGGCAUGCUCCACCAUGCUCGGCUAACUUUUUAAUUUUUAGUAGAGAUGGGGUUUCACCACAUUGGCCAUGCUGGUCUCGAACUCCUGACUUCAAGUGAUCCACCCGCCUUGGCCUCUCAAAGUGCUGGAAUUACAGGCAUGAACCACCGCACCUGGUCUGAACUCAACAAUCUAAAGUGUUUGUGGUAUUGUGAAAUAUUUCAUGAUUUCUACCAUUUAAAAGCACAAUAAAGGAUGACUGAAUUAGUAAAUUUAGUCAAAAGAAAUUGUUUGGGGGAAGGAAAGGUGAAAUACAUCCAUGUAAAUACAGAACUUAGCACAAGCUCUGAAUUUGCUUAAUCACCAGCUAUCUUAAAAGCUUUCCUGCUGGAUUGACAAAAUGUUUGCAGUGAUUUGCAGGCCCUUCCAUCCACCUGUCCCAUGUAAGAGCCAAUCACAGUAAGCGCAGGAGCAAAGAAGAAGCUGGAGGCAAACAGGCUUUGGUACCUUGCAGUGACCAGCUAUGAGGAGGGUCUGUUUUUAUUGGCUCGGGAAAGAGAAUGAGGUUAUUAGAGGUCAAGGUUGUAGGGAAUAUUUUAAAAUUCUGCUGACCACAGAAUUUACCAAUUCCUUUCCAUUUCUCAACUUGUUUAAGGCUGUUUUAUAGCCCAACUUAAAAAUUACAGUUGGCCUCAGAUUGCUUUUUAUCAUUUAUACAAGCUCACAGCUUCUGGAAUUCAAAUGAGAAGAGAACACCUGAUCAGUCACCAGGAAGGCAAGAGAACAGAAUAUGGAAGAGCUACUGCUCCCCAUUCCCAAUUCCUCCAGGCUGUGGGUGAUCCUCCAACCUCCAGCCCCUGUGGAACACCAGGCUUCACCUUCUCCAUACUUGCUCAUGAAAACACACAGAGCAUACACAUAUUCCAUUGCUGGAUCUCACAGAGUACCCAGGUUCUGGGCUGGCAGAAGAAAUCAGCUUUAAUUUGGAGAUAGAGCAAUUGAGGCAUGAUAAUUUUAAAUGACUAAGUGGCUCUGCGGAAAUUAAAUCCAGAUUAAAUUAAAUUAGGAUGCAGACCUCUAAAUGACAUUUUUUGUCUUCUUUAUUUUGAGUCUGUUGACAGGAGCAUUUAAAUGUAGCUUUGAGAAAGGAAUAAUGAAUCCAUUAGGCUGUACAUAUUUGGUGCUUAAUAAAUGUUUAUAAAAUGGAUGGAAAAGUGACAUUUUAAGGAAAAAAGAUUGCAUUAUAUAGAAUAAGCCAGCGAAUUUCUGAGAUGAGAACUUUUCUUUACCCAUGGUGGUUUCUGAAGUCACCUUAUUAAAGGCGACUUGGCUAAAAUAACUUCAGUUAAAAUAUAUGAUCUGUCACAAGCUAUUGAUUUUAGAAAGAGAAGGCGGUUCACAUUCAUGUAUUUCAUUGCUAAGUGCUGCUGUUAUGUACAACACCCAGCCUUUACUAAACUGACAUCCUCACAGGAAAUAAUGAUAACAUUCCGACAUUAAAAUGCACUGACGCUCAGCAACAGUCUGAUCAUUUUAUCCUCUCUAUUAAUAUUAGAAAACCAUUUCUACAACGUUAGUAUUUCUAAGUGAGUUGAAUCAGAUUCUCUUAGGGGAGUAAUUCUACCAAAGAUGAUUUUUUUAAUGCAAAAAUGCAGGCACAUUCAUUUGUCCUAGGUCCUACUUUGCAGAAUACUAUUUAAUUCAAUAAAGUGAUCAUUUUUGGAACUAUGCCAUCAUCCAACAGCGUGAGGCCUCCCUUACGCCUGCAGUCUAUGUUAGGGGCAGCAUGCAUUUAAUACUAAAUCUCAGCAAACCUUUUAAUAAAAAGGUAUCUUUAUGCAAAAGAAAAGAAAUGAAAGUAUUUAAAUAGCAAGUUACAUGUUCUUUAGGAGGGAAAAGAAGGCAGCACAGCAUUUCUGUGGAUCUGGGGAUGGGGUAGGGUAAAGAUGAAGCCAUCCUUCCUUCUCCCUGGGACACAGGCUUCUGGGACACCACCUGAAUGCUCCCUCAGCCAUCACUGAGCUGUGAGACUCAAAAGCUCAUGCUCUAAGUCUCGCUCAGGAUCCUUAUCUGUAAAACCAGGGAACCGGUUAAUUUUUUUUACAACCUCCUCUAAUCCCGGAUUAUAGGAUUCUAGGAUUUCUGUGUUUCUGAUUCAUACCAGAGCCCUGUUAUGAUCGCUUUAACGGGAUUCACAGCCUGUUUCAAUUCUUGCUUUUUAACAUAGCUUUAACCUUAGUUCUGUCCUUUGAUUUCCCCAGUGUCUCAAACAAGAAAAGAAUCAACUGCUUUGAGUUGGAGAUUUAUUUAUUCUAAUAAGAGUCUGAACAUUUUGUAAACAAACAAAAUGUUAAUUCUCUUUAAAUUGAUUUUGGUGUAUAACUCCAGUCAAUAUUUCUAAUACAUAUCUUUAACCGUACAUGAACAUCAAAUCUUAAUGCCAUUUAAAUCUUUGGGGUCGAGUACAGUGGCUCAGGCCUGUAAUCCCGGCACUUUGGGAGGCCAAAGCAGGAGGAUUGCUUGAGUACAGGAGUUCAAGACCAGCCUGGGCAACAUAGUGAGACCCUAUCUCUACAAACAAAAACAAAAACAAUUAGCUGGGCACGGCGGCACACGCCUGUAGUCCCAGCUACUCAGGAGGCUGAGGUGGGAGGAUUGCCUGAGCUUGGGAGGUCAAGGCUGCAAAUGAGCCAUGAUUGCACCACUUCGCUCCAGCCUGGGCAACAGAGUGAGAUCCUGUCUCAAAAAAUAUACAUAUAUUUGGGAAAACAAGUUUUCCCAAAUCAUAAAGCAGUGGCAUUCAUAUUGACUCAGUAUUUACUUUGAGGCAUAAGCAUCCACUUAAUAUAAUUAGGGUAAGUACAGUCACAGUGCCUAAGUUAAUACUUCCUAUGCAUGCGGAGACGAGCUUUUUUUAAACAGGAUUGAGCAAAUUCUCCUGAAGUAUUCUACAUGCAUUAUUGCAAUUGUUCUGUAAAUGUGUAAAAGCCUUAGGACUUUAUCUUUUAAUUAUAUAUGAUAUGCAACACUUGUUCCCAACACCUGCAGAGAAAUUUCCCAGACAAUGAAAGAAACAGUGCUUUCAUCUUAUUGAAUUAGCGUGGUUUCAAUUUCACAUUAUCUUUGGUUGCUCAGCCUGUAGUAUUACAAGUUUAUUGCUUCUCCUUGGCUAUGCUAAAAGUUGAAACCAAAAGUCAUUUUCUGUUUUAUUGACUUGCAGGAAGAAAAACUGAAAUUAUCCCGGUCAUUAAAGAGAGUACUUACAAUUUUUUUGCCUUCUAUUAAGACAGUAGAAGUAUUUGUUUCAACAUUCCACAGUCUCACUGUUCCUUUCUGUUCUCUGUAGAUGAAUUCUGUAUCUGUAAGAGAGGAAGUAGAAAAAAACCACAUGAAACAUCAAGGAACUCUCCUCAACUUUUGACGAAUGCUUAUGUAAAGUAAAAUCACUAGUUCUGAAAAAAAGAUAGGCUCCCACUCAUCAAACGGCCCUUUCAAUAUGGUGCAAUAUGCCCAGCUCUUCUUAAUCCAGCCUCACAUGAUGCUUCUCUCCUACUUUACACAUUGACAUAGAAAGCACAGGCGCACACACCGAAAACCUUUGGAACAGCUAGAAUGUUCUUGGGCAGGACACAAAGAGCAGAUUAAGAAAGCAGAUACUCCAAGGAGCCAAAGACAACUGUUAGUAAAGGGACUAAUUUCCUAUAUCCAACUUUGGAGUAAAUCUGUAUGCAGAAUGCUUGUGGCCCAUAGCCACAUCCUGCAAAACAUGCUUUCAUCUGCUCCACGAGCUCCCCUAGGUGCUCUUGCUUGGAGGAAUUAGCUCUUCGCUGCCAUGAAUACCUUUGAAUCUAUACAUCUCAUAGAUGCUGAGUCUGGCCUCUUGUAGAUGAACAACCAAGAUUUCAAGCAUCCCCUUAGAAAAUUAGUAAAAACGCUUACUCAAAAUGGUAUGCAUAUGGACAUGUACAUAUAUAUCUCCUAUGAAUGAAAGGGUGUAUUUCUGAAAGGUAGGGUUGUAUAAAAAACAACUCCCCAAAAUCAAUGAGAUAAAAACACUCCAACAGAAAAAAAUAGGCAAAAUAAAUACACCAAUAAUUUUUUUUAAUUUAAAAAAAUGUUUAUUUCAUCAAAUGUAUCCAUCUUUAACGACAUCUUAGUUUUGAACCAUAAUUAGAAAGAUCUUUGACCCUCCAAGAUGAUAAAGACACUUUCCAAUGUUUUCUUCUAGAAUUUUUAUGCCUUUUUUUUUUCUUUUUUGUAUUAUACUUUAAGUUCUAGGGUACAUGUGCACAACAUGCAGGUUUGUUACAUAUGUAUACAUGUGCCAUGUUGGUGUGCUGCACCCAUUAACUCAUCAUUUACAUUAGGUAUUUCUCCUAAUGCUAUCCCUCCCCCUGCCCCCCACCGUACAACAGGCCCUGGUGUGUGAUGUUCCCCUUCCUGUGUCCAAGUGUUCUCAUUGUUCAAUUCCCACCUAUGAGUGAGAACAUGCGUACACCAAGAAAUUUUAUAAAACAAAAAUAGUAAGUAAGCACAUGAGUAGACUCUUAAAGUCAUUAACACUCUGAUGAUGCAAAUUAAAAUCAGAGAUAGGUACCAUUUUGCAGCCACUACCUUAGAAGAGAGUAAGAAAAUUUCAUACAGGCAAACUACUUUCUGAAAUGUAGGGUUGCAGGUUGAGAGGCAGGGCCCACAGUGGGGAGAAGGAAAACACUAUCUUUCUGAGUGAAGGCAGUAACCUUGAGCCAGUUUGAUGGUAAAGGCAUUUCACACUAUAAUAGUUGAUGACUGAAAAACAUUAUGCAGACUGGAUUAAUUCAAAAGCAGAGUUGUUAUAAUUUAAGUAUGUGUAGAUUUUAUGAGGAAAAUGAAAGUCUAUCAAUAUAAUGAAAAUUUCAUCAUCGACAUGGUCCUAGAUCAAUCUACUUUAUGCAUUAUGUAAAUUACAUCCAAAGCUUCAGUGCUAAAGUUAACAGAUGUUUAGGUGAAAUUGUUUUCAUUUAUUUUCCUGGUAAUACUUUCAUGAACAAAUCAAAUGAGUCAUAUUUUUCUGUUUCUUAAGCAAACACACCAAGGUGCAUCUAUUGAAUGAGCUAUCUCACAUUAAAAGAACUCACAUGGAAGACUCUGCAAUCAUUUCAGUGAAGUUGCCCUUAUAUAGCAAAUUUUAGAAUUUUUUUUUAGAAAGCACUUAAGUUUGUUAGUUAUAUAAGUUGCAAAAAAGGUUACUACUUAAUUUGAUUGUCACCUUAUCUCCCUUCGUCCAUUAGCUUUUACUCUGAAUGAAUUUCUAAAUAUCAAGUUUGCCUUCAAUGGAUGAAGAUUUACUACCUUUGACACCCCCUCACGAGUUCCAAGUUCUCUGCUUCUACCCCGCCCCCACAUUACUGAUCACCAUGAAACAUAAUGAUUGUUUAAGAGUAUGCAGUGGGGAGCUGAACAAUGAAAACACAGAGAGGGGAACGACAUACACUGGGGCCUGUUGCAGGGGUCAGGAGGAGGGAGAGCAUCAGGAUAAAUAGCUAAUGCAUGCAGGGCUUAAUACCUAGGUGAUGGGUUGAUAGGUGCAGCAAACCACCAUGGUACACAUUUACCUAUGCUACAAACCUGCACAUCCUGCACAUGUAUCCCGGAACUUAAUAAAAUAAAUAAAUACAUAAAAAAGAUUAUGCCGUACUACAUUUGAGGUACAUAAAACCUGCUUGUUUCUACGGAAACCAAUGAGACCAUUUCAGAAUUAGAACGUAUGAUUACUUUUUUUUCCUCCUGAAUUUUAUCAUUCCGGUACUUUUAACAGUUUUAUCACAUAUUUAUGUAUCUUUAAAUACUAUGUUGUUUAGUUUUUUUUUGCAUUUGACCUUAAUAAGGUGAUAUUUACUGUGUUCCUCAGUAAUUUAUAUUAUAUCAUAUUUCUGAGGUGAAUAUAAUAGUCCAUGCUGUCUUGGCUCUUAGUUCUCACUGAUGUACACGAUUCUAGUGUAUAUUACAAUGGAUACCAGUCAUUCCUAGUUUUAUUGUUAUUACAAACCAUUCUACCAUGAAUAUUCUUCUUUACAUCUUUUGGUAAAAAUGUACAAGACUUUUGCUUCCUCUCCUCUUCCCUCUCCUCUCCUCUCCUCUCCCCUCCCCUCCUCUCUCCUUUCCUUUUCUUUUUCUUUCUUUCUUCCUUCCUUCUUUCCUUCCUUUCUUUUUUUAUUUUUUUGACGGAGUUUCACUCUUGUUGCCCAGGCUGGAGUGUAAUGGCAUGAUCUCGGCUCACUGCAACCUCUGCCUGCUGGGUUCAAGUGAUUCUCUUGCCUCAGCCUUCCCAGUAGCUGGGAUUACAAGCUUGCACCACCACGCUGAUCUAAUUUUUGUAUUUUUAGUAGAGACGGGGUUUUGCCUGGGUUAUGGGAAUCUUAACCUUACAAGUUAUUUUCAAAAGUGGUUAUGACACUUUAACAGGCACCAAUAGUGAAUGAGAUCUCAUAACUCACAUCCUCUCUAAAACUUGCUAUUUUCAAACUUCUUACUAUCUUCCAAUACAGUGGGUGUAAAAAUGGUAUCUCUGAUUUUAUUUUGCAUCAUCAGAGUGUUAAUCAGUUUAAAAGUCUCUUCAUGUGCUUAUUUACUAUUCUUGUCUUAUUUUAUAAAAUUCAUUGGUUUAUUUAUUUUGCCCACUUUUUUCUGUUGGAAUGUUUUUAUCUAAUUGAUUUGUAAGAGAUUUUUUGUACAUCCCAUAUGAAAUAUUCAUUAGUUUUAUGUGUUGAAAGUGCAUUUUCUUAGUUGUGGUUUUCGUUUUAUAUAUAAAAUAUUUUGAUAAGCAGAAAUUAUUAAUAUAGUAAAAAUGUUUACCCUUUGUGUUUGAUAUGACAUAUAUAAUAAAUAUUUUCCCAUUACAUGGUCAUAGUAAUGUUCUCCUAUAUAUUUUCUGAAACACUUUUGAAUUUUCCUUUAAAAAAUAAAGCCUUAAUUCACUGGGAAAUGACAUGAAUGUAUGGUGUGAGGUAGGAAUCUAAUUUUGUAUGUUUAUAUCUGCAACUAUUUGUUGCAGUACAAUUUGAGAAGGUCAUUAUUCGCUCUAUAAGAUGUGAUGUGAUCAAUAAUAUUUCAGCAAGAAUAUCUGCAGUCAUUGGGUCACAUGGGACUUUUUUUAUGUGUCCCCUGAUGAGUUGACUCAUUCCUGCAUUGAUACUACACUGUGAAAUUAUGUACCUUUGUAGUACAUCUUGCUAUCUGGAAAUUUUCCCUUAUGAGUUUCCUUCACGAAGGGUUUGGUGUUCCUUAGGAUUUUGCUGUUUAUUAUAUGUGUCAGAUUCAGCCUUAUAUGCAUUACAUUCAGCCUGUUAAAUUAGUAAAGAAUUCUCCUGGGAAACUGAUUGAGAUUUCAUUCAAUUGAAAGUUCCAUUUGGAGGAAACUGGACACCUUUACAACCCUGAGUCUUCCUUCUGCGUACUUGGUCUGCCUUUCCAUUUAUUUAGGUAUUUUUCUUAGCAUCUUUCCAUGAGUUUUUAUAUUUUUCCAUUGACAAAAAUAACACAAAACAUAACCUAUCUAGAAAUGAAUCUAACAAGGGAUGUGAAAGACCUCUAUGCCCCUUUACUGUGGAUCAUCUAUUCCAUCAAUAGACCCAGGUAACAAGUGCUCUGUUUUGUCAUUAUGUAGUUUUGCCUCUCCUAGAAUUUCUUACAAAUAGAAUCACACAUUACAUAGUCUUUUGUGUUUCUCUCCUUUCACUUACCAUAAUGAUCUUGAGAUUUAUCCAUGUUAUUCCAUGUAUUAAUGUUUCAUUCCCUUAUACUACAAAGGAGUAAUCUAUAGGACUGACAGACCUCAAUUUUUAUGCAUUCAAAUUCAUGCAUUAGUGACAAUUUAGAUUGCUGCCAGGUUGUAGCUAUUAUAUUGUUGGGUCAUAUGGUAUGUUUGCACUUAACUUUAUGGGAAACUGCCAAACUAUUUUCCAAAGUAGCUAUACCAUUUUGCAUUUCCACCAUCAAUUGUAUAAGAGUCACAUGCACAUCAUUUCUUCACUAUCAGUUGGCAAAAUCAGUCUAUUAAACAUUAGCCACUCUAGCAGGUGUGUAGUGGUAUCUCACUGAGGUUUUAAUUUGCAUUUUGAUGAUACAUAGUAAUAAUGAACAUCUUCUCAUGUGAUUAUGGGUGAUUUGCAGGUUUUUUGCAAACUAUCUUGAAAAAUUUUGUCCACUUUUAAUUUUUUUUUUUUUACAAUUUAUUACUGAGUCCUUUAAGCAUUCUGGAUAUGAGUCUUUGUCUGAGAUGUAUUUUUUAAAAUUCUUUACCAGGGUGUGGCUUUCCUUAUUCUUUUCCCAAUUAAUUUUUUAAACACUGGGGCCUGUCAGGGGAUGGGGGACUAGGGGAGGGAUAGCAUUAGGAAAAAUACCUAAUGUAGGUGAUGGGUUGAUGGGUGCAGCAAACCACCAUGGCAUGUGUAUACCUAUGUAACAAAACUGCACAUUCUGCACAUGUACCCCAGAACUUAAAGUAUAAUAAUAAAAAAAAAAAAUCUAAAGUGAAUGAAAUCUAUUUUUUGUAUUUUUCUUUUAUGAUUCAUAUUUUUAGUGUCCUGAGAAAUUUUUGCCUACCUCAAUGUCACAAAGAUUUUAUCUCAUGUUUUCUUUUAGAAUUCUAAUAAUUUUAGCUCUUUCAUUUAGGGUCUACGAUCAAAUUUUAGUUAUCUUUUAGACAGUAUAUGUAACAAGCAGCAACGUUCCUUUCUUUUCAGAUACAUAACUCGUUUGUUAUUCCAGUACGUUGUUGAAAAGAUUGUCUUUUUCCCACUGAAUUACUUCAGCAUUUUUUUUUGUCAAAAAUGAAUUGAAAAUGUAUGUGUAGAUUUCUUUUUCUGGACUUUCUAUCCCAUUCCAUUGAUCUGUGUCUAUUCUUAUGCCAAUGCCACACUGUGUUGAUUACUGUAACUUUAGAGUAAGUCUUGAAAUCAAGUAGUAUAAGACCUCAAACUUUGUUUUACUUUUUCAAAAUUGUGUUGGAUAGUUUAGGUCCUUUGUAUUUCAAUAUAAAUUUUUUAAUUAUCUUGUUGAUUUCAUCAAACAAGUAUUUGGGACUAGGAUUGGUAUUACAUUGAAUCUAUAAUUCAAUCUAAGGAGAACAGCCAUUUAAAAAAUAUUGCUUAUUCCAAUCCAUGAACAUAGUACAUAUCUCUAAUUGUUUAGAUCGUUCUUAGCUUCAUUUUGGAAUUUUAGUAGUUUUCAUGUACAGAUGUUGAAUUUCUUUUUAAUAAUUUAAUCCCAAAAUUUCCCAAUAUUUUUUCAUUGUAAAUGGUAUUACUGUUUAAUUUCAUUAUUUGUUAGUUUGUAA